GCAAGUCGAGGGGUAACAGAGGAGCUUGCUUCUGCUGACGACCGGCGCACGGGUGCGUAACGCGUAUACAAUCUACCUUAUACUGGAGAAUAGCCCGAAGAAAUUCGGAUUAAUGCUCCAUAACACUAUGAUAUCGCAUGAUAUUAUAUUUAAAGCUCCGGCGGUAUAAGAUGAGUAUGCGUCCUAUUAGUUAGUUGGUAAGGUAACGGCUUACCAAGGCAUCGAUAGGUAGAGGGUCUGAGAGGACUAUC
rnacentral:rRNA from 1 species